GACGAACGCUGGCGGCGUGCUUAACACAUGCAAGUCGAACGGAAAGGCCCUGCUUUUGUGGGGUGCUCGAGUGGCGAACGGGUGAGUAACACGUGAGUAACCUGCCCUUGACUUUGGGAUAACUUCAGGAAACUGGGGCUAAUACCGGAUAGGAGCUCCUGCUGCAUGGUGGGGGUUGGAAAGUUUCGGCGGUUGGGGAUGGACUCGCGGCUUAUCAGCUUGUUGGUGGGGUAGUGGCUUACCAAGGCUUUGACGGGUAGCCGGCCUGAGAGGGUGACCGGCGACAUUGGGACUGAGAUACGGCCCAGUCUCCUACGGGGGGCAGCAGUGGGGAAUAUUGCACAAUGGGCGGAAGCCUGAUGCAGCAACGCCGCGUGCGGGAUGACGGCCUUCGGGGUGUAAACCGCUUUCGCCUGUGACGAAGCGUGAGUGACGGUAAUGGGUAAAGAAGCACCGGCUAACUACGUG
rnacentral:rRNA from 1 species